GACGAACGCUGGCGGCGUGCUUAACACAUGCAAGUCGAACGAAGUGGCGAACGGGUGAGUAAUGCCUAGGAAUCUGCCUGGUAGUGGGGGAUAACGUCCGGAAACGGGCGCUAAUACCGCAUACUAUCAGAUGAGCCUAGGUCGGAUUAGCUAGUUGGUGGGGUAAAGGCCUACCAAGGCGACGAUCCGUAACUGGUCUGAGAGGAUGAUCAGUCACACUGGAACUGGGAUACGGCCCAGACUGCUGCGGGAGGCAGCAGUGGGGGAUAUUGCACGAUGGGCGAAAGCCUGAUGCAGCGACGCCGCGUGGGGGAUGAAGGCUUGCGGGUUGUAAACCUCUUUCGCUAGCGAACGGGUAGGUGGAGAAGAAGCGCCGGCUAACUACGUGCCAGCAGCCGCGGUAAUUC
rnacentral:rRNA from 1 species